UACAUGGGGUGCAAACGUUGCUCGGAAUUAUUGGGCGUAAAGCGCGCGCAGGUGGUUUCUUAAGUCUGAUGAGAAAGCCCACGGCUCAACCGUGGAGGGUCAUUGGAAACUGGGAGACUUGAGUGCAGAAGAGGAAAGUGGAAUUCCAUGUGUAGCGGUGAAAUGCGUAGAGAUAUGGAGGAACACCAGUGGCGAAGGCGACUUUCUGGUCUGUAACUGACACUGAGGCGCGAAAGCGUGGGGAGCAAACAGG
rnacentral:rRNA from 1 species